CACCCGGAGCUGGGAGGAGGAGCCUGCGUAGAGUGCGUGGGAAGGGAGCCGGGGGAACGGGCCAAGGCCCACGGCGUUUGACCUGUCGGUCCGUGCUUAAGAAGAAAGGAAAGGAGGAGGAGGUCCAGAGUAGCGGUUGCUGAAAUGUACCGGUGUGGAGGCCUGGCGGCGGGUGCUUUGAAGCAGAAGCUGGCGCCCUUGGUGCGGACAGUGUGCGUCCGAGGCCCGAGGCAGAGGAACCGGCUCCCAGGCAACUUGUUCCAGCGAUGGCAUGUUCCUCUAGAACUCCAGAUGACAAGACAAAUGACUAGCUCUGGUGCAUCAGGGGGCAAAAUCGAUAAUUCUGUAUUAGUCCUUAUUGUGGGCUUAUCAACAAUAGGAGCUGGUGCAUAUGCCUACAAGACAAUAAAAGAUGACCAAAAAAGAUACAAUGAAAGAAUUUCAGGGUUAGGGCUGACACCAGAAGAGAAACAGAAAAGGGCCACAUCAUCUGCUCCAGAAGGAGAGCCAGUUCCUGAAGUCAGGGUACCAAGUCACAUUCCAUUCCUGCUCAUCGGUGGAGGCACUGCUGCCUUUGCUGCAGCCAGAUCCAUCCGGGCUCGGGAUCCUGGGGCCAGGGUACUAAUCGUAUCUGAAGAUCCCGAGCUGCCAUACAUGAGACCUCCUCUUUCAAAAGAACUGUGGUUUUCAGAUGAUCCAAAUGUCACAAAGACACUGCGAUUCAAACAAUGGAAUGGGAAAGAGAGGAGCAUAUAUUUCCAGCCACCUUCUUUCUAUGUCUCUGCUCAGGAGCUGCCUCACAUUGAGAAUGGUGGUGUGGCCGUCCUCACCGGGAAGAAGGUAGUACAGCUGGAUGUGAGAGGCAAUGUGGCCAAACUUAAUGAUGGCUCUCAAAUAACCUAUGAAAAGUGCUUGAUUGCAACAGGAGGCACUCCAAGAAGUCUGUCUGCCAUUGAUAGGGCUGGAGCAGAGGUGAAGAGUAGAACAACACUUUUCAGAAAGAUUGGAGACUUUAGAACCUUAGAGAAGAUUUCCCGGGAAGUCAAGUCGAUUACAAUUAUCGGUGGGGGCUUCCUUGGUAGCGAACUGGCCUGUGCGCUUGGCAGAAAGGCUCGAGCCUCGGGCACAGAAGUGAUUCAGCUCUUCCCUGAGAAAGGAAAUAUGGGAAAGAUCCUUCCCGAAUACCUCAGCAACUGGACCAUGGAAAAAGUCAGGCAAGAGGGGGUUAAGGUGCUGCCCAGUGCUAUUGUGCAAUCAGUUGGAGUCAGCGGUGGCAGGUUACUCAUCAAGCUGAAAGAUGGCCGGAAGGUAGAAACUGACCACAUAGUGGCAGCCGUGGGCCUGGAGCCCAAUGUUGAGUUGGCCAAGACUGGCGGACUGGAGAUAGACUCUGAUUUUGGUGGCUUCCGGGUAAAUGCAGAGCUCCAGGCCCGCUCUAACAUCUGGGUGGCAGGAGAUGCGGCAUGUUUCUACGAUAUAAAGUUGGGUAGGAGGCGGGUGGAGCACCAUGAUCACGCUGUUGUGAGCGGAAGAUUGGCUGGAGAAAAUAUGACUGGAGCUGCUAAGCCGUACUGGCAUCAGUCAAUGUUCUGGAGUGAUUUGGGCCCCGAUGUUGGCUAUGAAGCUAUUGGUCUUGUGGACAGUAGUUUGCCCACAGUCGGCGUUUUUGCAAAAGCAACUGCACAAGACAACCCCAAAUCUGCCACAGAGCAGUCAGGGACUGGUAUCCGAUCAGAGAGUGAGACAGAGUCUGAGGCCUCAGAAAUCACUCUUCCUCCCAGCAGCCCUGUAGUCCCCCAGGCCCCCGCCCAAGGGGAGGACUACGGCAAAGGCGUCAUCUUCUACCUCAGGGACAAAGUGGUGGUGGGAAUCGUGCUGUGGAACAUCUUCAACCGAAUGCCAAUAGCAAGGAAGAUCAUUAAGGACGGUGAGGAACAUGAAGAUCUCAACGAAGUAGCGAAGCUUUUCAACAUUCAUGAAGACUGAAGACUGCUGUGGGACAGGCAGGCCCUCUGCUGUCCCCGACAGCAGCAUGGACGGGGAGCAAGUGGGUGAAGGGAGGAAAGCUGUGCAUAUUAGAGAGCAAGUCAGUUGGAGCCACUCCCAAGUGCAUCAUCUUCCUCGGCCUUGUACUCCCUGCUACACGCUCUCAGCUUCUUUCAGUCCACUGAACUUCUCCCUCACCCCUCCAGACCUCCGGUUCCAGUAAGUGCUUCCUGCCCGUGUUUCUUCCUCCCGAAGCUGGGGAGCACAGCGGAAAGAGCGCUCUUCGGGAUUUGCAUCUCAGCUUUGCCACUCACUCCUGGAUGACCCAGAGCAGCUAAUUUCCUAGGUCUCGGCAGCCUCAUCUGUAAAAUGAAGAGAACAGACCAGAUCAUCCCUCCACCCUCAGCUCUAACGUCCUGUGUAUGGAAACGUCUCUCAGGUGCUUGCCCAGGACUUUCUUCAUCUCUCCAUGGACUCAGUUGCCUUUCAUCUCUUAAGUCUAUAGCAGAUGCUAAUGGGACCCAAAGCCUUUGGCAAAUGUCUCCCCACAUUGCCUCCGCUGUCCCUUUGGCUCAACAGAAUUUUUGUUUAUUUGU